rnacentral:rRNA from 1 species
GUAGGUGGCAAGCGUUGUCCGGGAAUUAUUGGGGCGUGAAGCGCGCGCAGGCGGUCCUUUAAGUCUGAUGUGAAAGCCCACGGGCUCAACCGUGGAGGGUCAUUGGAAACUGGGGGACUUGAGUACAGAAGAGGAAAGCGGAAUUCCAAGUGUAGCGGUGAAAUGCGUAGAGAUUUGGAGGAACACCAGUGGCGAAGGCGGCUUUCUGGUCUGUAACUGACGCUGAGGCGCGAAAGCGUGGGGAGCAAACAGGAUUAGAUACCCUGGUAGUCCACGCCGUAAACGAUGAGUGCUAAGUGUUAGGGGGUUUCCGCCCCUUAGUGCUGCAGCUAACGCAUUAAGCACUCCGCCUGGGGAGUACGGCUGCAAAGGCUG